CCUACGGGGGGCUGCAGUCGAGGAUCUUCGGCAAUGCGCGCAAGCGCGACCGAGCGACGCCGCGUGGGCGAUGAAGGCCUUCGGGUUGUAAAGCCCUGUCGAGGGGAACGCUAUCCCUGGAGGAAGCUCGGGCUAAGUUCGUGCCAGCAGCCGCGGUAAGACGAACCGAGCGAACGUUGUUCGGAAUCACUGGGCUUAAAGGGUGCGUAGGCGGGCUGCCAAGUUUGGGGUGAAAUCCUCCGGCUCAACCGGGGAAGUGCCCUGAAUACUGGCGGUCUGGAGGGAGGUAGGGGCGUGCGGAACUAACGGUGGAGCGGUGAAAUGCGUUGAUAUCGUUAGGAACUCCGGUGGCGAAGGCGGCACGCUGGCCCUUCUGACGCUGAGGCACGAAAGCCAGGGGAGCGAACGGGAUUAGAUACCCUUGUAGUC
rnacentral:rRNA from 1 species